CACCGGCGGCCCGAGUGGUGGCCACUAUUAUUGGGUCUAAAGGGUCCGUAGCCGGUUUGAUCAGUCUUCCGGGAAAUCUGACAGCUCAACUGUUAGGCUUCCGGGGGAUACUGUCAGACUUGGGACCGGGAGAGGUAAGAGGUACUACAGGGGUAGGAGUGAAAUCUUGUAAUCCUUGUGGGACCACCAGUGGCGAAGGCGUCUUACCAGAACGGGUCCGACGGUGAGGGACGAAAGCUGGGGGCACGAACCGGAUUAGAUACCCGGGUAGUCCCAGCCGUAAACGAUGCUCGCUAGGUGUCUGGGACGGUGCGACCGUUUCAGGUGCCGCAGGGAAGCCGUGAAGCGAGCCACCUGGGAAGUACGGCCGCAAGGCUGAAACUUAAAGGAAUUGGCGGGGGAGCACUACAACGGGUGGAGCCUGCGGUUU
rnacentral:rRNA from 1 species